CUGAGGCAUAAAUCUCCAGAAAUAAAGCAAAGGAUUUGUUAGAAAGAUUUGAUCCUGAGCAAUGAAGCAACAACCUCAGUGACAAGGACUAACAGGGAUGUGCCUUUACCUUCUGUUCUUGGAGAGAUUGAAAAUGAUUUUCAGCCACCAAAAGCUAUGUUUUAAUAAAAUAUAAGUUAAAAUAGUUAACUUUUCUAAUAAGGAAAGCCUAAAGAGAGUAGAUUGAUCAUCAUUGAAAUGAAUGAAGCAAUGAAAUAAUUCCUCCCUGCCCAACAGGUCCCUGCUGGGAGUGCUGAGGCUGCAGGUAAAGGGCAAAGCUCUGGAUUCAAGAGGUCUGGAUAAGUGGAUGGAUGUGGAAAACUGCUAGUUUUGACAGAAGAAAUUGCUGAAUAUAUUAAAUAACAACGUGAGAAACCAAUAAAUCUGCAGGUAGUGCUGUGAGGAGUGGCCAGGUUGGCUGGAUGCCUGGAUGGGAACACCAGGAGCCUUUUGGGGAUCCGAGUGUAUCCAGGACAGCAGCAGCACCUGGGGAACUAAAUCAGCAAUGCUGGCAAAAAAUGAGACUGAAAAUAUCAGAAAUAGCAAAUAACCAUACAGAAACCGGCAAGUUUUGGGAUGGACACAGCAAAAUUGUGAUCACUGGAAAAAACAAAGCUCAGGAGCAUGAUGACAGACCCAUUUAACCACAGAACAACCAGGCAGCAAGAAUAUUCCUCAUAAUUACAAACCUUUUCCCCAUCCAAACACCUGUUUCUCAUCCUUUAAUUUGUAUCUGCGUG
rnacentral:lncRNA from 1 species